rnacentral:rRNA from 1 species
UACGGGGGGUGCAAGCGUUGUUCGGAAUUACUGGGCGUAAAGGGCUCGUAGGCGGCCAACUAAGUCAGACGUGAAAUCCCUCGGCUUAACCGGGGAACUGCGUCUGAUACUGGAUGGCUUGAGUUUGGGAGAGGGAUGCGGAAUUCCAGGUGUAGCGGUGAAAUGCGUAGAUAUCUGGAGGAACACCGAUUGCGAAGGCAGCUCACUAAGCUUUAACCGACGCUGAGGCACGAAAGCGUGGGGAUCAAACAGG